rnacentral:rRNA from 1 species
GAUGAACGCUGGCGGCGUGCCUAAUACAUGCAAGUCGAGCGAACAGACGAGGAGCUUGCUCCUCUGACGUUAGCGGCGGACGGGUUAGUAACACGUGGAUAACCUACCUAUAAGACUUGGAUAACUUCGGGAAACCGGAGCUAAUACCGGAUAAUAUAUUUAACCGCAUGGUUCCAUAGUGAAAGACGGUUUUGCUGUCACUUAUAGAUGGAUCCGCGCCGCAUUAGCUAGUUGGUAAGGUAACGGCUUACCAAGGCAACGAUGCGUAGCCGACCUGAGAGGGUGAUCGGCCACACUGGAACUGAGACACGGUCCAGACUCCUACGGGAGGCAGCAGUAGGGAAUCUUCCGCAAUGGGCGAAAGCCUGACGGAGCAACGCCGCGUGAGUGAUGAAGGUCUUCGGAUCGUAAAACUCUGUUAUUAGGGAAGAACAAAUGUGUAAGUAACUAUGCACGUCUUGACGGUACCUAAUCAGAAAGCCACGGCUAACUACGUG